rnacentral:rRNA from 1 species
CACGGAGUUAGCCGGGGCUUAUUCUCCCGGUACCGUCAUUAUCUUCCCGGGUAAAAGAGCUUUACAACCCUAAGGCCUUCAUCACUCACGCGGCAUUGCUGGAUCAGGCUUUCGCCCAUUGUCCAAUAUUCCCCACUGCUGCCUCCCGUAGGAGUCUGGGCCGUGUCUCAGUCCCAGUGUGGCUGAUCAUCCUCUCAGACCAGCUAAGGAUCGUCGCCUUGGUAGGCCUUUACCCCACCAACUAGCUAAUCCUACGCGGGCUCAUCCCUGGGCGAUAAAUCUUUGGACUUACGUCAUCAUCCGGUAUUAGCAGCAGUUUCCCGCUGUUAUCCCGAACCCAAGGGCAGAUUCCCACGCGUUACGCACCCGUGCGCCACUAAGGCCGAAGCCUUCGUUCGACUUGCAUGUGUUAGGCAUGCCGCCAGCGUUCGUUCUGAGCCAGGAUCAAAACUCU